rnacentral:rRNA from 1 species
GACGAACGCUGGCGGCGUGCUUAACACAUGCAAGUCGAACGGAAAGGCCCUGCUUUUGUGGGGUGCUCGAGUGGCGAACGGGUGAGUAACACGUGAGUAACCUGCCCUUGACUUUGGGAUAACUUCAGGAAACUGGGGCUAAUACCGGAUAGGAGCUCCUGCUGCAUGGUGGGGGUUGGAAAGUUUCGGCGGUUGGGGAUGGACUCGCGGCUUAUCAGCUUGUUGGUGGGGUAGUGGCUUACCAAGGCUUUGACGGGUAGCCGGCCUGAGAGGGUGACCGGCCACAUUGGGACUGAGAUGCGGCCCGGACUCCUACGGGAGGCAUCAGUGGGGAAUAGUGCACAAUGGGCGGAAGCCUGAUGCAGCAACGCCGCGUGCGGGAUGACGGCCUUCGGGUUGGAACCCGCUUUCGCCUGUGACGAAGCGUGAGUGACGGUAAUGGGUAAAGAAGCACCGGCUAACUACGUG